rnacentral:sRNA from 1 species
GGAUGUGAGGGUGAUCUGGCCAUGACAUCUGUCACCCCAUUGAUGCCAGGGUUGAUUUGGCUGAUAUGGCUGGCUAGGCGGGUGUCCCCUCCCUCACCGCUCCAUGUGUGUCCCUCCCGAAGCUGCGUGCUCAAUGGAAGAGGACGACCAUCCCUGAUAGAGGAGGACCCUUGCUAGAACCUCCAAACAAGCUCUCAAGAAUUUAAAAUCUAAUUAUUACUCAGUCUUU